rnacentral:rRNA from 1 species
AACUUUCAACAACGGAUCUCUUGGUUCUCGCAUCGAUGAAGAACGCAGCGAAAUGCGAUACGUAGUAUGAAUUGCAGAUAUUCGUGAAUCAUCGAAUCUUUGAACGCACAUUGCGCCCUUUGGUAUUCCAAAGGGCAUGCCUGUUUGAGCGUCAUUUC